rnacentral:rRNA from 1 species
UACGUAGGGUGCGAGCGUUGUCCGGAAUUAUUGGGCGUAAAGAGCUUGUAGGCGGUUAGUCGCGUCGGAAGUGAAAACUCGGGCCUUAAUCCCGAGCUUGCUUUCCGAUACGGGCUGACUAGAGGAAGGUAGGGGAGAAUGGAAUUCCUGGUGGAGCGGUGGAAUGCGCAGAUAUCAGGAGGAACACCAGUGGCGAAGGCGGUUCUCUGGACCUUUCCUGACGCUGAGAAGCGAAAGCGUGGGGAGCAAACAGGCUUAGAUACCCUAGUAGUCCCUGA